rnacentral:rRNA from 1 species
UACGGAGGGUGCGAGCGUUGUCCGGAUUUAUUGGGUUUAAAGGGUGCGUAGGUGGGACCUCAAGUCUGGUUUGAAAGCAGGCGGCUCAACCGUGUGAUGUGGCUGGAAACUGGGGUUCUUGAAUGGGUUGGCGGCUGCCGGAACGGGUCAUGUAGCGGUGAAAUGCAUAGAUAUGACCCAGAACACCGAUUGCGAAGGCAGGCAGCUACGACCUGAUUGACACUGAGGCACGAGAGCAUGGGUAGCGAACAGG